rnacentral:rRNA from 1 species
AAGGGAGUAAAGUUAAUACCUUUGCUCAUUGACGUUACCCGCAGAAGAAGCACCGGCUAACUCCGUGCCAGCAGCCGCGGUAAUACGGAGGGUGCAAGCGUUAAUCGGAAUUACUGGGCGUAAAGCGCACGCAGGCGGUUUGUUAAGUCAGAUGUGAAAUCCCCGGGCUCAACCUGGGAACUGCAUCUGAUACUGGCAAGCUUGAGUCUCGUAGAGGGGGGUAGAAUUCCAGGUGUAGCGGUGAAAUGCGUAGAGAUCUGGAGGAAUACCGGUGGCCAAGGCGGCCCCCUGGACAAAGACUGACGCUCACGUGC